GUGUGUGGAUAUUGUUCAGCACCAGGGACAGGUAUGUUUACCUGUUCGUGGAUAUUGUUCAGCACCAGGGACAGGUAUGCUCACUU
rnacentral:pre_miRNA from 1 species